GGNGGAGCUAUACAUGCAAGUCGUACGAGCUCUACCAAAUUGAUUUUAUGCUUGCAUAAAUGAUUUUUGGAUUCGGAGCGAGUGGCGAACUGGUGAGUAACACGUGGGUAACCUGCCCCAAAGCGGGGGAUAACAUUUGGAAACAAGUGCUAAUACCGCAUAAUUAGUUGGAACCGCAUGGUUCCAACUUGAAAGAUGGCUCUGCUAUCACUUUGGGAUGGACCCGCGCCGUAUUAGUUAGUUGGUGAGAUAAAAGCCCACCAAGACGAUGAUACGUAGCCGACCUGAGAGGGUAAUCGGCCACAUUGGGACUGAGACACGGCCCAGACUCCUACGGGAGGCAGCAGUAGGGAAUCUUCCACAAUGGACGAAAGUCUGAUGGAGCAACGCCGCGUGAGUGAUGAAGGUUUUCGGAUCGUAAAACUCUGUUGUUAAAGAAGAACAAGUGUUAGAGUAACUGUUAACACUUUGACGGUAUUUAACCAGAAAGCCACGGCUAACUACGUGCCAGCAGCCGCGGUAAUACGUAGGUGGCAAGCGUUGUCCGGAUUUAUUGGGCGUAAAGCGAGCGCAGGCGGUUUUGUAAGUCUGCUGUGAAAGCCCUCAGCUUAACUGAGGAAGUGCAGUGGAAACUACAAAACUUGAGUACAGAAGAGGAAAGUGGAACUCCAUGUGUAGCGGUGAAAUGCGUAGAUAUAUGGAAGAACACCAGUGGCGAAGGCGGCUUUCUGGUCUGUUACUGACGCUGAGGCUCGAAAGCAUGGGUAGCGAACAGGAUUAGAUACCCUGGUAGUCCAUGCCGUAAACGAUGAAUACUAGGUGUUGGAGGGUUUCCGCCCUUCAGUGCCGCAGCUAACGCAUUAAGUAUUCCGCCUGGGGAGUACGACCGCAAGGUUGAAACUCAAAGGAAUUGACGGGGGCCCGCACAAGUGGUGGAGCAUGUGGUUUAAUUCGAUGCUACGCGAAGAACCUUACCAGCUCUUGACAUCUUCUGCCAACCCAAGAGAUUGGGCGUUCCCUUCGGGGACAGAAUGACAGGGGGGUGCAUGGUUGUCGUCAGCCCCGUGUCGGUGAGAAAUGUUGGGUUAAGUCCCGCCAACACGGAGGCGGCAACCCCC
rnacentral:rRNA from 2 species